UGUCAAUUGAAAAAAAAACAAAAAUAAACCCGCGCUUUGAAAGCGCGGAUCAAAAUCUAGUUUUCAUAUUAAAAGGCGAGAAACAAAAUGGUGAAAGCUAGAUGCUUAAGUUAAUUAAAUGGUAAAGGCCCAGUAAUUAAGCAGCCCAAAUACAGAAAACUUUGCAUGCGAGUCGGAGGAACCGGAUUCAGGACCGGACCUGACCGGAGUUACCAAGAGACAAUUAGUUCAGAGGAGCAGACGAUCAAAGAAAGAUGAGGACUGUGAGGAAUAGAUGAUCAAUGAAAGAUAAGUGAAUGUUCUAUCUUUUAUAUCAAGAUUCACUUUUUCGUUUAACCUUUGUUUGUUUCUUCUUUAAGUCGGCAAGAUUCUUAUAUAUCUGAAAGUAUCAGACUAAUCCACGGGUUGAGAAUUGAGAAGUACAUUGACUAUUUUCCCUAAAGAAUACCAAAAAAUAUUUUUAUUUAAAAUUAAAAAAAACUUUUAAAAUUGAACAAUAGGUGAGGAUACGACAUCGUUUAACAAUGGUACAUGUUUUCCUGAGUUUAAUAACCUAAAUCUUUUUCCAUCUUCGUGAGUACGGCGAGUUUAGAAUCGUCUUUCUCCUUUUUGUGUUAUCUUUUUUCUCUAGAAUAGCUCGUUUCUUCGUCUCCAAUCAAGCUUGAUUUAUCGCUAGCCUCCAGUCUUUUUUCACGCUAUCAAUCGCUGGCGGUUUCAGCAUCUUCAUGUUAUUCACCAGCACAACCGUUGAUUUCACCUUCUUGAGCCACCGGCGAACUUCUUUACCGUCUGAACCACAACACAGCUUAUAUCGCCGCGUUAACCACCUUCAGAUUGGUAAGCGUACUUGUUUCCAACGAUUGUCUUUCUUUGGGAAGUCUUGGGCUUCCUCUCAUAUGCGAGAGCUCUGUUUACCAUUGUGCUCUGGAAAGUUUGGGAAUAAAAUGGGGAAGAAAUCUAAUCGGUUGGACACAACAACAACUUACACCGGAGACUGGCCGGAAAUAGUCGUCCUCCGUAAUUUAACUCGGGCUCUAUUGUCAGUUCAAAAACACAGAGUUCAAGAAUGGCUGCAGCCUUAGGCAUGUUUAGUCACGGUCCAGAAAAUGAUGAUAAAAGAUGGUGGGCUUAGAUCAUGUAAGUUGCAGCCCAAGUGACUAAACUAUCUAAGACCGCAUCAAAUUCAUUAAAUCGUUAAUGAAACGCAGAGUUUCGAGAUGGUAGGACAGGUGUCGCACUCACAAUCAAUGACUUUUUGACCUGGCGCUGACGUGGAUGCACAGGAGUGAAGCAAACAUUUUUUUAUAUAUAUAGAUAUUAAUUGCGAUUGUUUAUUAUAACGGCAAAUAAAUUAUGUGUUUGAGAUAAAUGUGUAUUUAUAAUUUCAAAUAAUUAUAUACUAGAUGGUAGUCCGAGAAUUAUCGGAUAUAAAUAUUGUGAAUAUAUAUAUAUAUAUCAUAAAUUUUGAAUAAUAAUUAAAAAUAUAAUUUUAACUCUUAAUAGUUUGAAAAUCAAUCGUAAAAUUUCUAUAAAUGUGAUGUAAAAAUAACUAAUAAAUAUUUAGUAAUAACAAAAACUUGUGGAAUUAUAUAUAUAAUUAUCACAUUAACUUCUCCAAUAGAUAUUGUGCAUCUUCUUCUGCCUCUUCUUAUUUUUUCAUUAUCAUUUUGUUUUUUAAUUAAAUAUUUACUAAUGUUUUCUUAAUUUUUUACAUAUAUAUGUAUUUCUCUCUCAAAAUAGUAAUACAAAAUAUACAAUCAAUGAACCAAAAAUCCAUCUUAUAAUGCUUUUCAAUCAUACCAUUACCUUAUUCACUAUAUUAUUUGACUUAAAUGCAAAACAUUUAUAAAUCAAAGUUCUCACAUGUUCUAUUAAAUAUAAUAAUAAUUAUAGAUACGACUAUAUUUUAUAUAUAUGAAUAUGAAAUCAUUCUAUCGAUUUCUAUAAAUUGUUUUAUAUUCAUUAUUUUAUGUAGUAUGUAAAUAUAAAAAGAGUUGAUAAAAAUUAUUACACUUUCUAUAUUUUUGAAAAUUAGAUACCAUUAAUUAUUUUUUGUAAUUAUCAUUUAGGUUAUUUGGCAAGUGAUAGUAAUUAGUUUUAGACUUACCUUUUUAUUUUACAUGAUUUUAAUUCAAUCAUUAUAUUAUGUAGUUUAGAAAUCUAAAAAAAAAUGAUCAAACAGUAAUAUUCUUUAUAUAAUUUCAGUAAUUAGUUACCAUAAACCAUUAUUUUGAAUAUAAUUUAUAGUAUUUGGCACGUGAUAUUAACUGGCUCUAGAUUUAUUUUUUAUUUUAAAUCUAAAUUAAAAUAAAUUAAAUUAAAAAUUAUCGCCCAAGCAAAUUAUAACAAUUUUCUUAAGACUACACAUAUGAUCGAUAUGUAAGCAAAAGUCACUUAAGUGACGUCUAGUUUAAUAUAUAGGAAAUUUUUUUAUUUUUUAUAAAUGAUUUAUAAUCUCAUAUGAAUCAUCUAAAAUUAAGAUAAAAUAAUUUUGUAAGCCAUGAUAGAUAAUUUUAUAAAUGUUAUAUUUUUUUAUAAAUGACUCGUAAGACAUAUGUGGACAUUAUAAGAUAUUAAUAAGUAUAAUAAUUCAUUAUAUACGAAUGAAAUGUUUUAUGUAAGAAUAUGAAAUCAUUAUAUCGAUUUAUAUAAAUUUUUCUAAUAGUUAUUUUAUGUAGUAUAUAAAUAUAAAAAGAAUUAAUCAAACAUUGGUACAAUUUCUAUAAUUUUGACAAUUAGUUACCAUAAUUAUUUGUAAUAUCAUUUAUACUAUUUAGUAAGUGAUAUUAAUUAGUUAUAAACUUAGAUUUUACUAUAGAUCUAAUUAAAAUAAUUAAAAAUUAAAUAUCUUCCAACCAAUCAACUUAUAACAUUUUUUUAAAAACUCUCUUUAUGAUUGACACCAUAACAAAAGUCACUCAAGUGAAUUCUUAUUUAAUAUAUAGGAGGAUACUGAUUAAAUAUAAACAUAAUCAAGCAUGGUAUGUUAAUUAAUAUAUAUCAAUUUUAAAACAAUAUAUGUAUACUUUAAUAAAUACAUAUAUACAAUUUACUACUUGAUGGUCCUUAUAUAUACAUAACAAUUUUUAAUUUUAAUAUUUAUUUUUAUAAAAAAUUAAAUUAUUAAAUUAGAUACAAAUUUUAAAUUAAAAUUAUAAAUUAUAAAACUUCAAUAUUCAUAUUGGUUAUCAAUGUAUUAUUGUUUCAUAGUUUUAUUUAUAGGAUGUAGAUGUUGGAUCAAAAUCUUUUUUAUAGUGAUAAUCAAAUUAAGAAAUUUUGAUUUAAUUAAAAGCUUAUUUUCUUAAAUAUACUUAUUGUAUUUGUGGACCAAAAAGAUAUCUAGUGAAAGAACGUGAUUAUAAACAAUCACAUCACAUAAAACAUCAACAAAAUCACAAUAGCCAAUAAACAUUAUAUAUUCUCUAUAAUUUAGAUUUUAAAACAGUGAGACAAAAAAACAAAAUAAUGAAUUACAAAAUAUUAUCUAUGUAUACUCUUAGAUUAUAAUGCGUUUGCAAAUAUGACUCAAAACUCAAGGUUAAACGUAAAACUAACCCAUGAAUUUUUUGGAACUUUCAUAUGUCCUUUCACCCCAAAAAUUUAGAUUAUUCACGAAAAUACCAUUUUUUGUAUUUAUUUUUAUUUUUUUGAGAAUGAAUAUUUUACUAUAUCAUCCUCAU